CUCAUCUCGGCUGCCUAUUAAUGCAGUUCGACGACUUCUGGUAUUGAUUCGGUGCUUGCAUCAUGAUUUACAUUUGAGUGAGUGGCGAACUGGUGAGUAACACGUGGGAAACCUGCCCAGAAGCGGGGGAUAACACCUGGAAACAGAUGCUAAUACCGCAUAACAACUUGGACCGCAUGGUCCGAGUUUGAAAGAUGGCUUCGGCUAUCACUUUUGGAUGGUCCCGCGGCGUAUUAGCUAGAUGGUGGGGUAACGGCUCACCAUGGCAAUGAUACGUAGCCGACCUGAGAGGGUAAUCGGCCACAUUGGGACUGAGACACGGCCCAAACUCCUACGGGAGGCAGCAGUAGGGAAUCUUCCACAAUGGACGAAAGUCUGAUGGAGCAACGCCGCGUGAGUGAAGAAGGGUUUCGGCUCGUAAAACUCUGUUGUUAAAGAAGAACAUAUCUGAGAGUAACUGUUCAGGUAUUGACGGUAUUUAACCAGAAAGCCACGGCUAACUACGUGCCAGCAGCCGCGGUAAUACGUAGGUGGCAAGCGUUGUCCGGAUUUAUUGGGCGUAAAGCGAGCGCAGGCGGUUUUUUAAGUCUGAUGUGAAAGCCUUCGGCUCAACCGAAGAAGUGCAUCGGAAACUGGGAAACUUGAGUGCAGAAGAGGACAGUGGAACUCCAUGUGUAGCGGUGAAAUGCGUAGAUAUAUGGAAGAACACCAGUGGCGAAGGCGGCUGUCUGGUCUGUAACUGACGCUGAGGCUCGAAAGUAUGGGUAGCAAACAGGAUUAGAUACCCUGGUAGUCCAUACCGUAAACGAUGAAUGCUAAGUGUUGGAGGGUUUCCGCCCUUCAGUGCUGCAGCUAACGCAUUAAGCAUUCCGCCUGGGGAGUACGGCCGCAAGGCUGAAACUCAAAGGAAUUGACGGGGGCCCGCACAAGCGGUGGAGCAUGUGGUUUAAUUCGAAGCUACGCGAAGAACCUUACCAGGUCUUGACAUACUAUGCAAAUCUAAGAGAUUAGACGUUCCCUUCGGGGACAUGGAUACAGGUGGUGCAUGGUUGUCGUCAGCUCGUGUCGUGAGAUGUUGGGUUAAGUCCCGCAACGAGCGCAACCCUUAUUAUCAGUUGCCAGCAUUAAGUUGGGCACUCUGGUGAGACUGCCGGUGACAAACCGGAGGAAGGUGGGGAUGACGUCAAAUCAUCAUGCCCCUUAUGACCUGGGCUACACACGUGCUACAAUGGAUGGUACAACGAGUUGCGAACUCGCGAGAGUAAGCUAAUCUCUUAAAGCCAUUCUCAGUUCGGAUUGUAGGCUGCAACUCGCCUACAUGAAGUCGGAAUCGCUAGUAAUCGCGGAUCAGCAUGCCGCGGUGAAUACGUUCCCGGGCCUUGUACACACCGCCCGUCACACCAUGAGAGUUUGUAACACCCAAAGUCGGUGGGGUAACCUCUAGGAACCAGCCGCGAAGUGACAAUUUGGGG
rnacentral:rRNA from 1 species